GAUAAUGAUGCUGUAAUCCUAUUCCAUUGCUGAAAACUCAUGUUGAGAAUUCCUAUCUGAUGUC